rnacentral:misc_RNA from 1 species
UACGUAGGGCACAAGCGUUAUCCGGAAUCACUGGGCGUAAAGCGUUCCGUAGGCGGAUUUUUAAGUCAUUAGUGAAAGCCUGCAGCUCAACUGCAGAAUUGCUACUGAUACUGGAAGUCUAGAAUCUCAUAGGGGAGGUUGGAACUGUUGGUGUAGUAGUGAAAUGCGUUGAUAUCAACAGGAACACCGAGGGCGAAGGCAGACCUCUGGAUGAGUAUUGACGCUGAUGGACGACAGCUAGGGUAGCGAAAGGG